AUUGCUGGUCCAUUUUUCCAAAUUGGGAAUAAGAUGAAGUACUACCGUUACAAGGAGACACGCAAAUUGGACAAAUAAAACUUGCAGGAUCCCAGCUUCCUGAUCAGGAAUCAAGCCCAGGGCCAUGGCAGUGAAAGCACCAAGUCCGAACCACUGGACAACCAGGGACCUGCCAGCAAUGCAGUUUCUAAAAUUAAGAUGCAGAGCAUCUAGUGACCGACUUUGAGGUCCCAGGGGAAGGAGGAGUUACUGAUGAACAUGAAGAGAAUCACCUUGCCUUCACUGACUCUUGUUGGACUGUGACAUGAGCAAGAAACAAAACAUGAUUAUGUUAACCCAC